rnacentral:rRNA from 1 species
GGGGAAUAUUGGACAAUGGGGGCAACCCUGAUCCAGCCAUGCCGCGUGAAUGAUGAAGGCCUUCGGGUUGUAAAAUUCUUUUGGUGGGGACGAUGAUGACGGUACCCACAGAAUAAGCUCCGGCUAACUUCGUGCCAGCAGCCGCGGUAAUACGAAGGGAGCUAGCGUUGUUCGGAAUUACUGGGCGUAAAGGGCGCGUAGGCGGCUUGAUAAGUUGGAUGUGAAAUCCCAGGGCUCAACCCUGGAAUUGCAUUCAAGACUAUCUUGCUUGAAUUCGGUAGAGGUUGGUGGAAUUCCCAGUGUAGAGGUGAAAUUCGUAGAGAUUGGGAAGAAUAUCCGUGGCGAAGGCGGCCAACUGGACCGACAUUGACGCUGAGGCGCGAAAGCGUGGGGAGCAAAC